rnacentral:sRNA from 2 species
UCAAGAUGCGCUUCUGAUCAGCGCGAUACUUGAUCAAAACGAAAGGGCGGCGCAUCGCGCCGCCCUUUUUGUUUUUGCCG